rnacentral:rRNA from 1 species
GGUCGACGAUUCCUACGGGAGGCAGCAGUGGGGAAUUUUGGACAAUGGGCGCAAGCCUGAUCCAGCCAUGCCGCGUGAGUGAAGAAGGCCUUCGGGUUGUAAAGCUCUUUCAGUCGGGAAGAAAAGGCGCCCUCUAACAUAGGGCGUUGCUGACGGUACCGACAGAAGAAGCACCGGCUAACUACGUGCCAGCAGCCGCGGUAAUACGUAGGGUGCGAGCGUUAAUCGGAAUUACUGGGCGUAAAGCGUGCGCAGGCGGUUCGCUAAGACAGGUGUGAAAUCCCCGGGCUUAACCUGGGAACUGCGCUUGUGACUGGCGGGCUAGAGUACGGCAGAGGGGGGUGGAAUUCCACGUGUAGCAGUGAAAUGCGUAGAUAUGUGGAGGAACACCGAUGGCGAAGGCAGCCCCCUGGGCCUGUACUGACGCUCAUGCACGAAAGCGUGGGGAGCAAACAGGAUUAGAUACCCUGGUAGUCCACGCCCUAAACGAUGUCAACUAGUCGUUCGGAGCGGUAACGCACUGAGUGACGCAGCUAACGCGUGAAGUUGACCGCCUGGGGAGUACGGCCGCAAGGUUAAAACUCAAAGGAAUUGACGGAAUCUCUAGA